rnacentral:lncRNA from 1 species
CGCUCCUCCGGGCCUCCCUGUGCCCCUCUUCCGGGCGCCUCUCUCUCUCUCCUCCUCUCACUUUCUUUAAGCUAAGCGGGGAGUGGAAGAUGGUAGGUUGCUCCCUUCUCCUCCUCCUCCUCUUCGCUCGCUCUCGCCUCCGUGGGGUCCUGUUCCUUCCCCCUGUCCGCGGGGGGCUCCUCCUGCGGCGGGGAGGAGGGGGCGGGCGGGGCGGGAGGCACGGAGCCGGCGAGGCGCAGGAGGAGAGAAACUGUGACACAAAAACAAGCCGCGAAGCUGAACUCUUCUUCAAUCCCAUUCACCCGGCCCGGCCGCAGCACCGCGCCGACGGAUCCCUCCGCCGACGGCCUCCCUGCCUGCCUGACGCGCGCUCCCGACGCGCCGCCGAGCGCGCCCCCGCCCGCCCCCACCCCGCGGCCGGGGGGGUCCGGCCCGCCGCUCUCGCGGCCCCCCCGCCGCUCCCGGAGCGCCCCCGCCGCCCCCUCGCCGCCAUGCCGGCGGGGGCGGCCGCGCCGCCUCCUCCCGGGGGGGACUACUUGACGCGUCGGUGCGGCGAAUUUAUUUCCCUUUGCCUAAGGAACGGGCUGUGCUGCGGCACCCAUUGCCUAGGGAAAAAGCCCGGAUGUGAAGCUCACAAUGACAAAGAGGAGCAGUCCCAGCCUCUGCACUACUUCUGGCUUCAUUUCCACAUCAGCAAAAAGGACUUCCCCAGAUGUGAGCAGUCAUAA